GAUGAACGCUGGCGGCGUGCCUAAUACAUGCAAGUCGAGCGAACAGACGAGGAGCUUGCUCCUCUGACGUUAGCGGCGGACGGGUGAGUAACACGUGGAUAACCUACCUAUAAGACUGGGAUAACUUCGGGAAACCGGAGCUAAUACCGGAUAAUAUAUUGAACCGCAUGGUUCAAUAGUGAAAUACGGUUUUGCUGUCACUUAUAGAUGGAUCCGCGCCGCAUUAGCUAGUUGGUAAGGUAACGGCUUACCAAGGCAACGAUGCGUAGCCGACCUGAGAGGGUGAUAGGCCACACUGGAACUGAGACACGGUCCAGACUCCUACGGGAGGCAGCAGUAGGGAAUCUUACGCAAUGGGCGAAAGCCUGACGGAGCAACGCCGCGUGAGUGAUGAAGGUCUUCGGAUCGUAAAACUCUGUUAUUAGGGAAGAACAAAUGUGUAAGUAACUAUGCACGUAUUGACGGUACCUAAUCAGAAAGCCACGGCUAACUACGUG
rnacentral:rRNA from 1 species